CACGAACCGUACGAACGUUAUUCGGAAUUACUGGGCUUAAAGAGUACGUAGGCGGCCCUGAAGGUUGGGUGUGAAAUCCCUCGGCUCAACCGAGGAAUUGCGCUCAAAACCGCAGGGCUUGAGGGAGAUAGAGGUGAGCGGAACUGAUGGUGGAGCGGUGAAAUGCGUUGAUAUCAUCAGGAACACCGGUGGCGAAGGCGGCUCACUGGAUCUUUUCUGACGCUGAGGUACGAAAGCUAGGGGAGCGAACGGG
rnacentral:rRNA from 1 species